rnacentral:tRNA from 1 species
GGGCUGUUAGCUCAGUUGGUAGAGCAGUUGACUUUUAAUCAAUUGGUCGCAGGUUCGAAUCCUGCACAGCCCA